rnacentral:rRNA from 1 species
UCCUACGGGAGGCAGCAGUGGGGAAUAUUGGACAAAGGGGGGAACCCUGAUCCAGCCAUGCCGCGUGGUGAAGAAGGCCCUUAUGGGUGUAAAGCUCUUUAAGCGAGGAGGAGGCUACUGAGACUAAUAAUCUUAGAUAGUGGACGUACUCGCAGAGAGACCAGUGUCCCC